AACGCGAAGAACCUUACCAGCCCUUGACAUCCCGGUCGCGGGAACGAGAGAUCGAUCCCUUCAGUUCGGCUGGACCGGAGACAGGUGCUGCAUGGCUGUCGUCAGCUCGUGUCGUGAGAUGUUGGGUUAAGUCCCGCAACGAGCGCAACCCUCGCCCUUAGUUGCCAUCAUUCAGUUGGGCACUCUAAGGGGACUGCCGGUGAUAAGCCGCGAGGAAGGUGGGGAUGACGUCAAGUCCUCAUGGCCCUUACGGGCUGGGCUACACACGUGCUACAAUGGCGGUGACAGUGGGACGCAAUGGGGCAACCCUGCGCAAAUCUCAAAAAGCCGUCUCAGUUCGGAUUGUGCUCUGCAACUCGAGCACAUGAAGUCGGAAUCGCUAGUAAUCGCAGAUCAGCACGCUGCGGUGAAUACGUUCCCGGGCCUUGUA
rnacentral:rRNA from 1 species